AUACGUAGGGAGCGAGCGUUGUCCGGAAUUACUGGGUGUAAAGGGAGCGUAGGCGGGAGUGCAAGUCAGAUGUGAAAUACAUGGGCUCAACCCAUGGGCUGCAUUUGAAACUGUAUCCCUUGAGUAUCGGAGAGGCAGGCGGAAUUCCUAGUGUAGCGGUGAAAUGCGUAGAUAUUAGGAGGAACACCAGUGGCGAAGGCGGCCUGCUGGACGACAACUGACGCUGAGGCUCGAAAGCGUGGGGAGCAAACAGGAUUAGAUACCCUGGUAGUCCACGCCGUAAACGAUGAGUGCUAAGUGUUGGAGGGUUUCCGCCCUUCAGUGCUGCAGCUAACGCAUUAAGCACUCCGCCUGGGGAGUACGGCCGCAAGGCUGAAACUCAAAUGAAUUGACGGGG
rnacentral:rRNA from 1 species